UGGGUGCAUCUAGGGACUUAAACCAUCAUUCGCUUGGAUUAUCUUAAUCGCAAAAUACUCCUCGUUUUUUUGUGCAAACUUUUCUACCAAAUUCUUGCUCCGAUGUAUCAAGUGUAGCUUAUUUUUUAAAUAAAAUUUAUACUCCAUGGUAACUUUGGGUGGUAAUUUUUUUAUUUUUCCAGAAGUUUUCCCAGAAAAAUUUGAAAACCCGAGAAAAAAGCAGGAAAAUCGGUACAAUAUUAUACAAAUAUUAAAAAAUAUAUAUAAUGCGAAUUUAGUUUUAUUUAAAAUAAUAUGACAUAUCUGUUGUUGA